UACGUAGGGAGCAAGCGUUGUCCGGAAUCAUUGGGCGUAAAGCGCGCGUAGGCGGCCCCGUAAGUCCGCUGUGAAAGUCAAAGACUCAACCUUUGAAAGCCGGUGGAUACUGUGGGGCUAGAGUCCGGAAGAGGCGAGUGGAAUUCCUGGUGUAGCGGUGGAAUGCGCAGAUAUCAGGAGGAACACCAAUAGCGAAGGCAGCUCGCUGGGACGGUACUGACGCUAAGGCGCGAAAGCGUGGGGAGCGAACAGG
rnacentral:rRNA from 1 species